UUCAUGUAGGCCUAUGUGUGUGUGAGAUUAAUGCCUCAGUCUGUCCAGUCACUGCGUGACUUUCCCCUCUUCAUGAAAUUAAGCCAAAGGUCUCCAAUUACAUGGUAUUCAAUCAAUUCAAUCUCAGGACAAGCAGCAUCCCUCAAAGGUUUUCCCAUGAUGCAGUUGCCUGCCUCACCCACAGACAAACCCAAAGUCAACUCAAAAGACUGCCUGGGCGGUGAUGUCAUUCGCUCCUAUGGCUAGAGCAGGAGAUGUUUGGGAGUGUGGUGUGUUCCGUGUUGAGGUGUGACCAGUGCACCUUUAUAAUUUAACAUUGUCUGAGCUUGCAGGAUAACAUAUGGCCCAUAGAUUACUUUAGUACCACAGGGAAAUCUAGCACCUGUAAACGCACAAACCUCUUCAGUGUAAAAUGUAAUCCUUUUACCAUACAUGGGAAACAAUGUCUGGGGAAUAACUGCUAGGGCAUUGUUGAGUGAGGGCUAGUUUCAACAGUUCAAACUGAAGAGCCCUCACAACAGUACAGUGGCUGGCAGCCAGAUGUUGCCAAUGACAUAAGGUAAUUUAAACAAAUUGAAAUGUUUAACCAAAGACUCAGUAAAGGGUAUUUCAAAAGAGGACAGCAACAUCCAUAUGCUGAUGUUGUUGAUUAUGACGUACAGCCACUAUGCUGUCAUAAAUGCGUCAUAAAUGCGGUCUGCGCAUAAACUAAACUAUGAUUUAAACUAUGAUUUUAUAAUAACUCACACUGUAUCUUGCAGGCAGCGUGUGUUAUGCCGAGUUCAUGUGCUAGUCUUAUCUAGGAAACUCGUACAUUUCCGACAAGCUAACUGAAUGAAUGCGGCACGUGUAUAACUACAACCAGUUAGCAAGUUUGAAAUUUCAGAGUUUUGACCAGCAACUAAACGCGGCAUAACGUCGAGCGGCAACUUCUCCACAAAAGGGCUUCACAGUGAAGUCACACCAAACCAGCAAGUUACUUCCUUGGAGAUGACGGUCGCGCACCGUCGUUAAGGAACACCACUAUGCGUAAUACAGGCCAACAAUGAAUUCAGGACAUUGAAGAGGUUUCGUUGGUAAUAGGUGUUUUAUCAGCAAUAGUUACAAUGCCUCAAAACCACAGAACGUUUCGUCUGAUUGGCCUCCAAGGACGAGAUGGGAAACUGGGCCCCCUAUGCAAGGAGGCCGUCACUGCUGUGCAGAAUGCAUGCUGAGAUACACCCACACUCUACCAGGAGAUUGGUCAAGGGGAUGAAUCUAGGCUAAUCUAAUAGUAAACCUGAAGAGAAACACAGCAACAGAUACUUUUGUAUUUUUUUAUGACAAACAUUGCAGUACCAUACAAUAGUAUUCUCCA